rnacentral:rRNA from 1 species
UUUGAAUUUUAUUCCUGGCUCCAGGACGACCGCUGGGGGCAUUCCCUAAUACAUGCAAUUCGAACGCUGAAGCACUUUGCUUGCAGAGUGCGGAUGAGUGGCGAACGGGUGAGUAAACACGUGGAAAAUCUGCCUAUUAAGUGGGGGAUAACAUUCGGAAACGGAUGCUAAUACCGCAUACAUUCUUGAACCGCAUGGUUCUUGAAAGAAAGACGGCUUUGCUGUCGCUUAUAGAUGAUCCCGCGGCGUAUUAGUUAGUUGGUGGGGUAAAGGCCUAUCAAGACAAUGAUACGUAGCCGACCUGAGAGGGUGAUCGGCCACACUGGGACUGAGACACGGCCCAGACUCCUACGGGAGGCAGCAGUAGGGAAUCUUCCACAAUGGGCGAAAGCCUGAUGGAGCAAUGCCGCGUGAAUGAAGAAGGUCUUCGGAUCGUAAAGUUCUGUUAUUAGAGAAGAACAAGUCAAGGAGUAACUGUCUUGACUUUGACGGUACCUAACCAGAAAGUCACGGCUAACUACGUGCCAGCAGCCGCGGUAAUACGUAGGUGACGAGCGUUGUCCGGAAUUAUUGGGCGUAAAGGGAGCGCAGGCGGUUGGAAUAGUCUGAUGUGAAAGCCCACGGCUUAACCGUGGAAGGUCAUUGGAAACUGUCCAACUUGAAUGCAGAAGAGGUAAGUGGAAUUCCAUGUGUAGCGGUGAAAUGCGUAGAUAUAUGGAGGAACACCAGUGGCGAAGGCGACUUACUGGUCUGUAAUUGACGCUGAGGCUCGAAAGCGUGGGUAGCGAACAGGAUUAGAUACCCUGGUAGUCCACGCCGUAAACGAUGAGUGCUAAGUGUUAGGGGGUUUCCGCCCCUUAGUGCUGGAGUUAACGCAUUAAGCA